AGUGAACGCUGGCGGUAGACCUAACACAUGCAAGUCGAACGGCAGCACAGUAAGAGCUUGCUCUUACGGGUGGCGAGUGGCGGACGGGUGAGGAAUACAUCGGAAUCUACUUUUUCGUGGGGGAUAACGUAGGGAAACUUACGCUAAUACCGCAUACGACCUACGGGUGAAAGCAGGGGAUCUUCGGACCUUGCGCGAUUGAAUGAGCCGAUGUCGGAUUAGCUAGUUGGCGGGGUAAAGGCCCACCAAGGCGACGAUCCGUAGCUGGUCUGAGAGGAUGAUCAGCCACACUGGAGCUGAGACACGGUCCAGACUCCUACGGGAGGCAGCAGUGGGGAAUAUUGGACAAUGGGCGCAAGCCUGAUCCAGCCAUACCGCGUGGGUGAAGAAGGCCUUCGGGUUGUAAAGCCCUUUUGUUGGGAAAGAAAAGCAGCAGGUUAAUACCCCGCUGUUCUGACGGUACCCAAAGAAUAAGCACCGGCUAACUUCGUG
rnacentral:rRNA from 1 species